rnacentral:rRNA from 1 species
UACGGAGGGUGCAAGCGUUAUCCGGAUUCACUGGGUUUAAAGGGUGCGUAGGUGGGCAGGUAAGUCAGUGGUGAAAUCCCCGGGCUUAACUUGGGAACUGCCGUUGAUACUAUCUGUCUUGAAUACCGUGGAGGUGAGCGGAAUAUGUCAUGUAGCGGUGAAAUGCUUAGAUAUGACAUAGAACACCUAUUGCGAAGGCAGCUCACUACACGGUAAUUGACACUGAGGCACGAAAGCGUGGGGAGCAAACAGG